UACAGAGAGUGCGAACGUUGUUCGGAAUUACUGGGCUUAAAGCGCACGUAGGCGGCAUCGUAAGUGUCCGGUGAAAUCCCACGGCUCACCCGUGGAACUGCCUGGCAUACUGCGAUGCUAGAGUAUGGUAGGGGAGAGCGGAACUCCUGGUGGAGCGGUGAAAUGCGUAGAUAUCAGGAGGAACACCGGUGGCGAAGGCGGCUCUCUGGUCCAUGUCUGACGCUGAGGUGCGAAAGCUAGGGGAGCAAACGGGAUUAGAAACCCCCGUAGUCC
rnacentral:rRNA from 1 species